rnacentral:lncRNA from 1 species
GAAAUUAUUCAUGAAAGAUCAAAACAUGCCAGAAGAAAUUCAAGGACUCCUUAGCGCCAACACUAAAAGUAAUCUCAAGACCUUAGAAAAGAAAGUGUUUGGAGAGGAUAUUGAACCAAGGCGUAAUAUUUCGGCAUAUAAAAAUGAUGGCAGUAAGCAAGAUGUCAAAGACUUUGAACCAAGGUCCAACAUUUCAGCUUAUGGAGACAAUGACAUUGAUGUAAAAGAAAAGAAUGGAGCCAUUAAAGAUUUUGAACCUAGACCUAAUAUUUCAGCUUAUGGAGAAAAUGUCAUUGAUGCUGAUGAAAAGAAGAAACCAGUCAAAGAUUUUGAACCAAGACCCAAUAUUUCAGCUUAUGGAGACAAUGACAUUGAUGUUAAGGAAAAUAAGGGAGCCACCAACGAUUUUGAGCCAAGACCCAACAUUUCAGCUUAUGGAGACAAUGUCAUUGAUGAUAAUAAAAUGAAGAAACCAGUUGAAUAUUUCCAACCAAGACCAAACAUUUCAGCUUAUGGAGAAAAUGACAUUGAUGUUAAAAAAAGUAAAGAUUUUGAACCAAGACCCAACAUUUCAGCUUUUGGAGACAAUGACAUUGAUGUUAAUGAAAAGAAGGGAGAUACUAAAGAUUUCGAACCAAGACCAAAUAUUUCAGCUUAUGGAGACAAUGCCAUUGAUGAUGAUGAAAUGAAGAAACCAAUUAAAGAUUUUAAACCAAAACCAAACAUUUCGGCUUAUGGAGACAAUGUCAUUGAUGCUGAUGAAAUGAAGAAACCAGUCGAAGGUUUUGAACCAAGACCAAACAUUUCAACUUAUGGAGACAAUGUCAUUGAUGUUGAUGAAAUGAAGAAACAACAAGUCAAAGAUUUUGAACCAAGAACCAACAUUUCAGCUUAUGGAGACAAUGACAUUGAUGUUAAAGAAAAGAAGGGAGUCACCAACGAUUUUGAGCCAAGACCCAACAUUUCAGCUUAUGGAGACAAUGUCAUUGAUGCUAAUAAAAUGAAGAAACCAGUUGACGAUUUCCAACCAAGACCAACUAUUUCAGCUUAUGGAGACAAUGCCAUUGAUAAUAGUAAAACGAAUGAAGUCAUCAAAGAUUUUGAAUCAAGACCCAACAUUUCAGCUUACGGUAACAAUGAAGUUGACACUAAGAAAAAAGAAAAAGCUGCCAAAGAUUUUGAACAAAGACCCAUUAUUUCAGCUUAGGAAGACA